rnacentral:rRNA from 1 species
AUUGAACGCUGGCGGCAUGCCUUAUACAUGCAAGUCGAACGGCAGCGCGGGCUUCGGCCUGCCGUCGUGUUGCGAACGGGUGAGUAAUGCAUCCGAACGUGCCCAGUAGUGGGGGAUAGCCCGGCGAAAGCCGGAUUAAUAUCGCAUACGACCUGAGGGUGAAAGCGGGGGAUCGAAAGGCCUAGCGCUAUUUGAGCGGCCGUUGUCGGAUUAGCUAGUUGGUGGGGUAAAGGCUUACCAAGGCGACGAUCCGUAGCUGGUCUGAGAGGACGACCAGCCACACUGGGACUGAGACACGGCCCAGACUCCUACGGGAGGCAGCAGUGGGGAAUUUUGGACAAUGGGGGCAAGCCUGAUCGAGCCAUGCCGCGUGAGGGAAGAAGGCCUUCGGAUUGUAAAACGCUUUUGUUCGGGAAGAAAUUCUGUGGGCUUAUACCCCGGGGGGAUGACGGUACCGGAAGAGUAAGCACCGGCUAACUACGUG